rnacentral:rRNA from 1 species
GAUGAACGCUAGCGGCAGGCCUAAUACAUGCAAGACGAACGGUAAGUUGAGUAGCAAUACUUAGCCAAGAGUGUCGUACGGGUGCGUAACACGUAUGCAACCUACCCUAUACAGGAGGAUAGCCUAGGGAAACCUGGAUUAACCCUUCAUAGUAUUAUUGGAUGGCAUCAUUUGAUAAUUAAAACUGAGGUGGUAUAGGAUGGGCAUGCGUCUGAUUAGUUAGUUGGCAGGGUAAUGGCCCACCAAGACGAUGAUCAGUAGGGGUUCUGAGAGGAAGAUCCCCCCACACUGGCACUGAGAUACGGGCCAGACUCCUACGGGAGGCAGCAGUAGGGAAUAUUGGUCAAUGGAUGCAAGUCUGAACCAGCCAUGCCGCGUGCAGGAAGAAGGGCCUUCUGGGGUUGUAAACUGCUUUUGCCAGGGGGAUAAAUUCCAUGCUGGAAACUGAAGGUACCUGGUGAAUAAGCCACGGCUAACUACGUGCCAGCAGCCGCGGUAA